GACCCCAUUUUUCCUUGCUACAUCAAUGUAGUUGGAAGAAAAUGAGAGAUUUGCUGCAUUGGAUCUUUCUACAAGUUGUUGCUGCAUAUGGUGAUGACCAUUGGAUGUGUUGAAAAGAAAAUCUGGCUGCCUGUUCAGAUCUAUUUGACUACCCUGCUCUACUUGCCUAAUGUUUGAUAGGUUUAAACCAGAUAAUGUAGCUGCAAUUUCACCAAGCUCAGUUACGCCAGAAGAAUGACCACUCUGGGUAGUAGAGCCAACAAUAUUCUUUUUCUCAAGAGGGACAACUCUGCUCGCCACAGGGGGAAGACCAGAACUAGGAGACC
rnacentral:misc_RNA from 1 species